rnacentral:lncRNA from 1 species
AUCCAUUUUCUAUUAAUUAUAAAAGUAUUUAAUGAAGAACUAAUUUAUUUUACUCGUCUACAUUAGAAAAUAUCUAUAAAAAAUCAUCACAUCAUAGCAAACACACAUAUAAAGAAAAUUAAUCCUAAUAUUUUAAUUAAUUAAAUAGUCUACUAUAAAAUUUGUGGUGUCACACAUGAAUCCCAACUUGUUGGACAGAUACAAUAUUAAUGUAUGUAUUCAAUUUAGAGGUAUGAAUAGUUUAUAAAAAUUUGUUUAACUCAAAGUGUUAAACGAGUUUUUUUGGAUGUUGAGAACCUAGAUAUAUAACUUUUGUAAAUUAUAGAUAAACUAUACACCAUCAGUUAUAUGUCAAUAAAUAAAAUCAAAUGUUUAAAGCAAGGGACAAAAGACCGUCAUAAUCCUAUAAUGAUGGCUACAAUCUGUAGGUAUUAGGUAAUUAUAAACAGCAGUACGAAAUUCCAUUGAUAUUGAUAAUUUUAGCUAUACAUACGAUUUUUAUACUCUUAUCUAAAGGUAAAGUUUCGUGUACAGUGAAUAUAAUUCAAAUAUCCUAAUUUUAUUUUUUUAAAAUAUCAUGUCAACACACACUUUACUUUUUUGGAAACAUCUUUUCAUAUGUUAGAAAUAUAUAAUAUACAUAUUUAUCUUCAGAGCCACGUCAUCCUAACUUAUUUAUAUCUUUUCAUAAAAAUAACUAACUUACUUAGCAUAAUAUAUUUUGUUGUAUCUAUAUUUUAUGACCCAAAUUUUCUCAUACGUGGCACUAGUUUUACACUAGUUUAUGAUAUAUGUUGUAUUACUUAUCUUAAAUGUCAUAAAUAUAAAAGUCUCAAAUACAAUAUUUUAUAAUUGUAGUCAUUUUUAUUUUACUUAAAUAUAUAUUUAUCAUAAAUAUCAUAAAUGUAUAAGUCUCCAAUAUAAUAUUUUAUAUUUUUAUUUAAUACAUUAAUUUGAAAACCAUCAUGUUUACGUUUAAUGCAAUAUUAAAAUUUCUUUCAAGUUCAAUGUGGGUUGCCAUUUGCUUGUAUUUAAAAUAUUAAAAAUUAAAAUAUAUAUAUUAUAAAAAUAUGGAAAGUCGAGUCAAAUAUAUUACUUUUUAAUAAAUAUAUAAUAAAAAUAUUUUAUAACGCUACCAUAUUUAUAUUCAUAUAAAAAUUAUUGGAUGUUCAAGGUAGAACAUUGCCUAUAUAAAUGUACUUGUAGAUAACAUAUUCAAAUAAAAAAAUGGAAAUUGUAAGAAAUUCUUCUAUGGCUAUGGCAUUUUUGCUGGCAUUUUUUAUCAUUUCAUCAGGUAUAAUCACUUUGAGUAAUUUAUUAUGGAUUAUCUUGUUGAUUUCUCACUUUAACCAACUUAUAAAAAAAAUUAUAUUUUUUAUAUUACAAAAUUCUAAUGUCCAUGUAAUGUUUGUGUAUGUAGAUAUUCAUAUGGAAUCACAUGCUAGAGGAGUAAGUGAGGAGAGAUAUGGAUUUUGUGGCACAAACGACGAUUGUCAACGUAACUAUCAUUGUCCACCUGGUCUUGUUGCCGUAUGUGUUGCAAAUGAGUGUACAUGUGUACACUCUCAACAAACCAAGCAAGUGAGUGAUGACAUAAAUGGAUUCUGUAGCACAGAUGGCGAUUGUCAACAUACUAGACCUUGUCCACCUGGUCUUAUUGCCAUAUGUGUUGGAAACCGUUGUACAUGUAUACACUAAAUUAAGUUCCUAGUCCAACACCAUCACUUACAAACUGAGUUAUACAAUAUUGUGAAACAAUAAUCGUGUUUGGAUGAGAUUAUAAAUAUAUAUAAUCUUAAAUAAAAUUGUUUAUUGCGUUAUAUUUUGUAUUCACAUCGUAUGAAACUGAUUUUUUUAUAAAAUAAAAUUUUGAAUGCAAAGGCAUCACAUUGAUAACAUAGACAAUUCAUCUAUGUUAGCACUCUAAUCACUACAAGAAAAACUCUAAUUUGUGGCCAAUUUUACAAAUAUUUUGUGGCCGAAAAAAACCUCACAAAUUAGUGACCGAAAAAACCGUCACAAAUACAAAAAUUGAAAUUGAUCUUUAUUUGUGGCUGAAAAAGCUCUCACAAAUGUUUAAAAAUUUAGGUGGAUUUUGUGGCUGCCUAAGCCUUCACAAAAUCACAAGCCACAAAAUCUAAAUUUUGUGAGGGUAAAGGCUGCCACAAAUGCCUGAAGGGACAUUACACUUUGUGGCUGCAAAGGCCAACACAAAAGCCUGAGCCUUUGCAUUUUGUGGCUGCAAAGGCCGCCACAAAAGAAUAAAGUUAUGUGGCAUUUUUUGGCCGCCCAGACCGCCACAAAUGAUCAACCAGAUCCUAUAUAUAUUACUCCACUCCUCUCAUCAUUUUUCACUUCUAACUUCUCUCUAAACCCCCCUUCUAAAUUUUCUCUCCACCUUCUCUCUACAAAAAAUAUUCCUCCAACGUUGCUUCAAUUUUGGUAAGUUUAUAUUAUAUUAUAUAUAUUAGUUUUUUAUUUUUAAUUUUAUUUUUGAUUUGAAGUUAUUUAUGUAAUUAAUAUUAUUGAAUUUUUAUUUAGACAGUGGUUGUUAAUUACUUCGAAGAGUUCUAAGCUCUGUACGUGAAAGCUUCAAGUCAGACACUACCCGACAUCAAGUUUUUAUUUUAUACAUUUUAAAUUUAGAUUAGUAAAUAUAUAUGUGAUAUUAUAAAUAUAUUUAUAUUAUUUUUAAAAUAUAGAUUAGUAAUAUGUGUUAUUAUAGAUUUGUUUAUAAAAAAAAAAUAGAAAUUAUGUUGUUAACAUAAUAUAUGAUAAAUAAAAAUUUCAAACACAUGUAAAACUUAUUGAUUUUAAUAUAACUAUUUUUUAAAAAAACAUUAUUAAAAUUGAUGAAAUUAUGUUGUUAACAUAAUAUAUGAUAAAUAAAAGUUUCAAAUACAUGUAAAACUUAUUGAUUUUAAUAUAACUAUUUUUUAAAAAACAUUAUUAAAAUUGAUGAUAUUAUUAUUUUUGGUUAUAAGUCUUGAUACAUAUUAAUAUAAUUUAUUGAUUGUUAGUCUUGAUAUUUUUUGUUAGUCUUGAUUAUUAAAAAAACAUCAUUUAAAAUUUUAUUUCGGUUUAUAUAAUUAUACUAGUCUUGAUACUAAUUUAUUAUAUUGUUUGCAAAUUAAUUAAUGCUCCCCUAAUUGACAUAUAAAGUAAAAUUUAUUGAUUUUAAUAUAACUAUUUUUUUUAAAACUAUAUUACUUUAUUGAUUUUAAUUUAUUUGGGUUGGUAGUAAUUACUUUAAUUAUUAUUAAUAUUAUAAUUUUAUAUAUAAUAUUUAUUUUAAUUUUUAAAUUUUAGUUUAAUUUUAAUUUUAAUUUAUUAUUAAUUUAAAUUAAUCUUUAAUUAUAAAUAUAAUUUAAAUGAUAAUUAAAUUGUAAUAUUAUAUUUUUAAUUUAAAUGUUUAAUUUAUAUUCAGAUUAGUUUAUUAUAUAUUAAAUUUAUUUUAUAUUGAUAUUAUAUUUUAAAUUUAAUUUUAAUUUUAAUUUUAAUUUUAAUAUAAUUGUAAUUUAAAUUUAAAUUUUCAAUUUAUAUUCAUAUUAAUUUAUUAUAUAUAAUAUUAUAAUAAAAUAUUAAUUUCGAAUUUAAAAAAUUAAUUUUUUUAAUAUACUUAAUAUUUUGUAGCGGCCUAAGCCCUAACAAAAUAUUAAUUUUUUAAUCUGGAUGAUACUUUGUGGCGGCCUAAACUCUCACAAAGGGAAGCAUUUGUGGCGGCCUGGGCCCUCACAAAGGCUUAACUUUUUAAAAUCAGUCUGCUUUUGUGGCGGCCUAUGCCCUCACAAAUUGAGGCAUUUGUGGCAGCCUAUGCCCUCACAAAGGCAGGCGUUUGUGACGACUUUUGCCCUCACAAAAGGCAACGUACUUUUCAAACUUUGUGGCCGUUUUGGCCGCCACAAAUGUUUGUGACCACCGUAUUUGUGGCUGUCUAAGGCCGCCACAAAUGUUUGUGACCACCGUAUUUGUGGCUGUCUAAGGCCGCCACAAAUUCUCCCUUUGUGGCUGCUUCUUCCGCUUUGUGAGGUCUUUUGGCCCUCACAAAAUCCGUGUUUUCUUGUUGUGUCAUCAACUAUCAUUUUCACUAAUUAAUAACAUCAAUAUAAUACAAAGAAAUGAACAUGGAGUGACUAGGGCAAACCCUAAAUGCAAGUGUAACACCUCAAGUUUUAUUAAAAAAAAAAACAACUUAAACUGUUUGAAACUUUUAUUCAUGAUCUAGCCAUACAAGCAAAUGCAUAUUUUAACAGCCCUCUUACUACUUUAGAAAAUAUUUCUAAGCUUAAAAUAAUAAAUUAAUUUAUUUUAUUUGUAAUACUCUAUUUUAGUAAUAGCCGACUUUACUUAAAGUAGAAGUAUAUAGGAAAGUGGUAGUAUUAAUAAGGUUCAAGUGUCAGAAGGAGACCAUGUCACUUUUUUCUCUCUCUCAUUCUUUUCACAUACCAAUAUUAAUUGAUCCUUCACUUUUUCAUAUCAUUCAUUCCAGAUACACACUUCUAUAAAACAACUCCAAAAAACUCCAACAUCGUUACUAUUUAUCGUCUCUAUCUCCAUCAAUUUCCUUCUUCUUUCCAAAAUCCUUCAAACACAAAAGUUCUCUGAUGUCUUCUACACAUGCCCAACCUCUUGCAUAUCCCUUUCUUCCUCUCAAGAUGACCAAAGUAACACUAAAAGAAGAAACAUAGCAUAUUUGGGGGAUCUCUAAAUCCAAACCAGGGUAUAAAGGGCAAAAGAGCUGACAAAGCAAGAAAAUCCCAUAACCAACUAAAAUUAAAGGAAUCCCAUCUUGGAAAACAACUAGUUCUUUUCCUAGAAAGGUUUCACAUCUUGCAUGUGGGUUUUCUGUUUCGUUUUUUAUUUUACUUUAUUGAGUCAAUUUGAUUUUGUGUUUAAAAUAAUGGGAUCCUAAGAAAACAGAGAGAGAUGGAAAAACUGUGAGGUUUAGCAUGUAGAAAAUGUUUGAAGUAUGCAUUUAGUUGUUCUAAAUCCAUUCAUUAUGCAUACAUUGUGUGAAUGAUUAUGGUGUGUUCAUGAAGGAAUGAAAGUAAAUUGUUAGUUAGCCUAAAAUUAUGUUUCCUCUAGCUUCCUUCAAUUAUGUUUCCUCUAGCUAACUCUAAUUCUGUUUCCUCUGUCUGCGUCUAAUUCGGUUUCCUUUUAUCAUGUUUCCUCUAUCAGAAGUUCCUCUGAUCAUGCUGCCUCUGAUCCAGGUUCCUCUAGCAAGAGUCUGCCUUUGUUCAUGUUGCCUCUGACUCAUGUCUGCCUCUGGUCAUACUACCUCGGAUCCAAGUUCCUUUGAGCACGCUGGGGAGAAAUAAAAUAGGGGGACUACUUUCACGAUUCAACUAAAAUAUGGGGACAAAAACAUCAAUUAAGCCAAAGUUCAAAGCAAGAUAAUUAUAGUGUAGGUUUAUCGGAAGCAGAUGCAAACAAACCAGAAGAACUUGAAGAAUCAGAGGAUACAAGCAAAUUAGAAGAAUAUGACAAAUCUUCAAAGCUGAAUCUGAUCAAGUCAGAAAUAGUCAAUAUAAGCCAGAAGAAAGAUGUGGAUGGAAGUACCAGUCAUCUCAUCCUGAAACUCUAAUCAUUGGAAGUGCAAGCCAUCAUGCGAGGACCAGAUCAUCACUUAAAAAUACAAGUUUGUUUGGUUUACUCUCAUCAAUUGAGGCUACCUCUAUUGAUGAAGCAUUGACAGAUGAUGGAUGGAUUCUUGCAAUGCAAGGAGAGUUAAAUGAAUUUGAGAAGAAUGAUAUUUGGGAUCUAGUACCUAGACCAGAUAAGAACAUUAUUGGAACCAAGUGGGUUUUCAGAAACAAACUAAAUGAAAAAGGUGUAGUGGUCAGAAACAAGGCAAGACUUGUCGCACAAGGCUAUAGUCAGCAAGAGGACAUUGAUUACACUGACACAUUUUUUCUAGUGGCCAGGUUAGAAGCUAUUCGUAUCCUACUUUCUUUUGCUAUAAAUAAUAACAUUACAUUAUUUCAAAUGGAUGUUAAAAGUGUUUUUCUAAAUGGUUAUAUAAGUGAAGAAGUAUAUGUUACACAACCCCUAGGUUUUGAAAAUUCUGAAUUUCCAAAUCAUGUUUUUAAACUUAUGAAAUCUUUGUAUGGCCUAAAACAAGCACCUAGGGCAUGGUAUGAUAGACUUAGUAAUUUCUUGCUUAUAAAUAACUUUGAAAAAUGACAAGUAGAUAAUACAUUUUUUAGAAAAUCAAUAGAAGAUGACAUUCUUAUUAUUCAUAUUUAUGUUGAUGACAUUAUUUUUGGAUUUACUAAUGGCCCUAUUUGCCAAGAAUUUUCUAAAUUAAUGCAGUGUGAAUUUAAAAUGAGUAUGAUGGGAGACCUUAAGUUCUUCUUAAGGAUACAAAUUCAAUAAAGUCAAAAAGGUAUAUACAUUCAUUAAACUAAAUAUACAAAAGAGCUUCUCAAGAAGUUUAAGAUGAGUGAUUGCAAACCUAUGGCUACACCAAUGCACCCUACUUGUUCACUUGAAAAAGAUAAUUCAGGCCAAAAAUUUGACCAAAAAACCUACAGAGUAAUGAUAGGAUCCCUACUUUACCUUUCUGCUUCCAGACCUGGCAUCAUGUUUAGUGCAUGUGUAUGUGCAAGAUUUCAAGCUGAUCCUAGAGAAUCACAUUUAACUGUUGUUAAGAGAAUCCUUAGAUACCUAAAAGACACUACCAACCUUACCUUGUUCUACCAGAAAUCUCCUAAGUACAACCUUAGUGUAUAUUGUGAAUCUGAUUAUGCUUGAGAUAAACUUGAGAGAAAGAGAACUAGUGGAAACUGCACCUUUUUAGGUGACAACUUAUUAUCAUGGUAUGGUACGAGACAAAACACCAUUGCAAUGUCAACAACAGAGGCUGAAUACAUUUCCGCAGCCGACUGUAGUUGUUAACUACUUUCGAAGAAGCAUCAACUUGAAGACUACAAAAUCCUAGAACCCUACAUUCCCAUCUAUUGCGAUAACACUUCUUGCUUUUUUCUAACCAAAAACCCUAUCUUACAUUAUAGAGCUAAACACAUAGAGAUUAAACACCACUUCAUUAGGGACUUUGUUCAAAAAGGGGUACUAAAUAUUUAGUUUGUAGACACUGAACACCAAUGGGUUGAUAUAUUAACCAAACCACUACCUGAAGAUAGAUUUGACUUCAUCAAGAAAAACCUAAGUCUUACCUUCAUACCUGACUGAUAUUGUGAUAACUUCAAAGUAGUUUAGUUUUACAUUAGUUUUAUAUUUUCUUGUAAUAUGUUAUAUUCAUGUUAUUAAAAAACGAAAAAAAAAACUCACUUUCAAGUCCUUUUAUCUACUGACAAAAGGGGGAGAAAGAUAUUUGAUAGAGUCGUGAGAAAAUGAUACUUAGACUUAAGGGGAGCCCUAAGUUAGGGGGAGUUAAAGAAAUACAAUGAAAAGUUAUUAUCAAAAAUACAAGUUUUGUCAUCAUAAAAAAUGGGGAGUUUGUUGGAACCAAAUUCAUUUUAUACUUAGAGUUUUAUGAUAACAAAAGUAUUUUAUGAGAACAAUAUAUUUGACUUCAAAGAGUAUGAAAGAAGAUUUGGUCAAGAUUUGUAGAAGAUUUGAAGAAGAUUUGAUCAAGAUUUAUCUACAACACAAUAUUAACAGAAUCAAUCUGAACAAAUUACGAACAUAAUCAAUCUAAAAAAUUUACAAUAUCAAUGUAAACAAAAAAAGAACAUAAUCAAUUUGAAGAAUUUACAAACGCAAUCUGAAGAUAAUACAAUUUAGAAUUAAACAAGGACUAAAUUAAAGCCCAUGUUUUACCUAUAAAUGAAUACUCAAUGCUGAAGAAGAAAAUCAUCGAAAAGUAGAAAAGAGUAGUCUUAGAGUUCAAAGAGAGAAAUACUUGUUCAAGUUAGAAAUCAUUUCUUAAAGUGUGAGAGUUAUUAUUAUUAUUAUCUUCUUUUUAGAAGCAACUACUCAAAUUCCAAUCUUUUGUAUCUAACCCGGUAGUGGUUUAGUUCCUUCUUCAAUAUGGGGUUGUCAGGUUGUUAGGAGAACACUUGGCUUGUAGGGUCAAGGUGGUUAGUUCCUCAAAAGUCUGGGGUUGUCAGGUUGUUUGGGAAUACUAGCUUAGAGGGUAUUUGAAUUAGUGGAUUAAAGCUUUCUGAAUGAGGGGGCUGGAUGUAGCCAAGUUAGUGGUGAACGAGGAUAAAUAUACGUGUCAAAUUAUUUAUGUUUUAAUUGCUUACUGCCUAUGGAUCCAAUUGCUUGUACUCCAAGUAAGUCACCAAAACCAACCUAGUUUUUAUUUAUUUAUUUAUUUAUAAAUUAUCAAAAAUUUAUCAACUUUGGGAAACACAGUUCAACCCCUCUUCUCAUAUUUGCACCUUCAGAACUCAUACGCGAUUUCUUUGGCCUCUACCUAUAAUAAGUGUGACAAGAAUUCUUUUUCCUUAACCACUAACAUGAAUGACAAGAAUUAUUCUGCCUCUGCCUGUGAAAAUCACAUCAAGCGUCUGAUCAUGUGACUCUGAACUUGCAUCCUCUAACAAAGUUAAUGCUCGGAAAAUAAAAAGUGAACGCUUUGAAAAAGUCAAUGCUCUAAAGUCAAAGCAAUUUGUGCAUCCUCUGAUACUCUUCCUGAAUCAUCUUCUUUUCUAAAGAUCUUAAGACACUUUUUGAUCAUUGUUCCCUCUAGUUUCCAAUUGUUUCAACAAACACGCUAAAUCAAUACAAGAUCAGUCUUUUUGAGAAAUUCUCUCCGUCAAAUCAUUCGAGAAAGAUAUGAUGCAAAACUUUUUGGAUUAUCUUGAUUUUUUGUAAUCAUUACAACAUCAAAAAAAUACUAAUUGUACUAUAUAAAGGACAUUCCCCCCAAGACGAAUCAAGACACAAGAAAAAAGCGAUAAUCACAUUUUGACAUUAGUUAUCAUCCUAUUAGUUCUAAGAGAAUUUUUUCUGAAGAAAAAAUUGCAAACACUCGUUGUAAGAGCUUAUUCAGAUAAACUCCAAAACCUUUUUGUUGUAAUCUAGCCCAAUAGUGGUUUCCUUUCUCAGCAGUUUGACUAUAUUAAGCUAGAAGGUUGUGAAGAUUGAACACAAUUAGUGCGACUAAUAGGUGUUUAAGUGUAAGUCUUAUUUAGUGAUAAUUCAGUGGAUUAAAUUCUUCAAGUUGAAGGAACUAGACGUAGACAGCAUGUUGAUGGUGAACAAGGAUAAAUUGUUGUCUCUUUGCUCAGUUUUCACACUCGUGCUUUAUCUUCUUUACUUUGAGUAUAAUUACACAAAAAGUUUUUUAAAAACACAAUUAAAACCCCCAUUUCUUGUGUUCUUUUCAUUCUACAAGGGAACCAUUACCUAUUGUCUCGUACUCAAUGAUCUUUCCCUUAUGAUCACCUCCAAAGCCUACGAAUCCUCCGUUCUAGAGGGUUAGGUCUUAGAACAUAGACUUUUCUCCCGUCAUGUUGUGUGAGAAUCCAUUGUCUAGGUACCAUGAUUGUUGUUUUAACUUUAUGGUAAAUGAUAUCUGCAAGAUAGAUUAUUUUAUUCUUAGGUACCCAAAUUUGGUUGGGUCCUGGUUUAUUAGUUCUGAAAGGUCUCUUAUCUUUCUAUGUUUUUUUUACAUAAGACAAGUUCUUGUAUUGUGACAUUUCUUAAGGUAGUGCAUGCAAUUAGUAUCAAAUAUGUUAACCUUAGGAGUUUUCUCUGAUUCUUCAAAACCAAUGCGAUGUUUAUUGUUUUUGCUAACACCAUUGAUCAUAGAAGAUUGCUUUCUUCAGCCUAUGCCAUUCGCAAGAAAUUCUUGAAAAGUUAUUCCGUACUUAACAGAAUUGCAGAUUUUAUCCUCUAAAGUUUUUGGAACAUUUUCUUUCAGAGUUAGAUUUUCCCUAUUUGGGUGUUCAACUUCCUUUUCAAAUGAACUGCAUUUAUUUGUUAAGAUGUCAUGAGCCUUUCUAAGAGAUUUAAGCCUUGAAGAAACUGUAUCAUUUUUGUUGAGAAACUCAUUUUACAUAUCUAUAUGUUCAUUACGAGAUAGGUUAAACAGUACCUCAAUUUCUUUAUCAACAAAUUCAUUGUCAGAGUUUGGGUUAGAGUGAGUGUCAGCAAUUAGAGCCAUAUUUGCAUGCUUUUCAACUUCAUUAGAUGAUUCAUCAGAGUCAUCCCAAGUAGCCAUCAGACCUUUUGUUUUCGCCUUGAAGUCUUUUCUUUAGGAUUUUCCUUUCUCAAGUUUAAGACAUUUUUAUUUGAAAUGACCUGGUCCUUUGCACUCAUAGCAGAUGAGUCAUUUCUACUACAAUCUUUCACUUCCUUCUCUACUACUUUGGGGUUUUCUGAAAUCUCUUUUGUGGAAAUAUAUAUUCCUGUUGUUCCACAUGCGCUGGAUUUUUCUUCAGAUAAAGGACAACUCUUCAUCAUUUGAGUCUUCACUUUGAUUAUCCAAACCACUUUCCUCUAAGUCUUUAGUAGCUUGUAGGGCUUUAGAAUCAUCUUCUUUUCUUGGGAUUUGAAGGCCAAGGAUUUUGACUUCUUUCUGGGCUCAUCUUCAACUAGUUCAAUCUCAUGAGAUGUGAGUGACCUCAUCAACUCUUCCAGAGGUAGUUUAUUUAGAUCCUUAGCCAUUUGAAUAGCGGUUACCUUUGGUCUCCACAUGUUGGGAAGACUUCUAAAUAUCUUCUUGAUGUGGUCACAAGUGGUGUAGCUCUUUUAGAAAACCUCCAGUCCAGAAAUAAAAGUUUUGAAUCUAGAGAACGUUGUCUUAAUGUCUUCAUCUUCUUCCAUCUGGAAGAGUUCAUUCUUCUUAACAUGUAGAUUUUCUUUGGCUUCAUGUACCUACUUAUUUCCUUUGUAGUUGAGAGCCAGAGCACCAAAGAUACUUUUUUUGUUUCUUUGUUACUGCAUUUUUCAAACUCCUUGAAGUUGAUAACAUUCAUCAUGAAGUUCUAGCUUUAUGAUGCAUUUGGUUUUGUUUCUUUUUAUCAACAUUUGGAUCCUUUUAAUUGGUUGUGUGUAUCUUAGUACGAAGACAUAAGGAGCAGAGGAUAUAAUGAGCAUGUCUCGUAGACAUUCAGCCACAAAAGCGAAUUCAAAGGAUAUACUAACAUCAUAGCAUUGUCUUCUAUCAUAGUAUUUACUUUCAUCAGAGCAUACAUUAUUUGCCAAAGUCAGACGAUUAGAUGCUUGAUGCGAUUAUCAGAGGUAGACGAUUAGAUUCUUUUCGUAGUCAUCAUAUGUAGACGAAUCAGAGAGUUACUUGUAUUUGACAGAAGCACCAAAGGCAUGUCUCAAGGCUCAUCUACUUAACAAAUAUACUUAGAAGCAGAGUCUUAGUGUUUCUCCAUCUUAGUCCAAUUACUAGAUGAUGCAAUGUAGGAUCAUACGAAAUUCACUUGAUGUACGAACUACACACUUAAACAGAACAUUAGUGUUUUAAAAUGUUCCCACAAAAAUAACUUUGUUAUCAUAAAAUUAUGUAAAGGUUAUAGUUCUUCAAACCAACAUAGUUCUAACAAUUGGUCUACUAUUUCUCGCAGAACUAAAAGAGAGUUAGGAUUUCCUCUUAACAUAAAGAAAUACCCUCAAAUGCACACAUAAGAAUUUAUACUGCACGUAUUGAAAUAGAAAUAAAUUAUGGAUGUUACUAACCAUAAAAAAUAAAAUAAAAAAUGUUUUUACAUAGCAUAUCAUAAUGAAAUUGGUUUAUACUCACUUAAAUAUAGUAUACGAAAUUUGAUGACCCAGAGUAGGUAGUAGCUAAUGUAGUUUAAUGGCUAAAUAGCAUCACCGAUCUCUUAACUUAAUUUCAGUUAAUGUUUUAGUCUUUUAUCCUUUUUUUUCUUCCCGAUUUGGUCAUUUAUUUUAAUUUUAAGUGACAAUUUGAUCUUUUAUAUUUUAAAAUGUCUCAUGAUGUUCAAUUAUUAGGUUAUCAAACUUUUUAAUUAGUUUAGUUGCUACAAGACAACAUAUUGCUAAAGAGUUAUAAAUACAUUUAUUUUCUGAAUACAAUUGUUCAAUAACAAGUUUAGAAUCUCCCAACACUUUGACAUGUUUUUGUAGAGAGAAAAAAAAAGAGGGGUUUGAAUUGUAUUUUGUUUCAGAAAAAUAUAAAUUAAAAAAAUACAUAUAUAAAUAUGCAUCGGCGUAGGAGAUUAUACAUUAUCAUUCUUAAUUUUAUUUUGAGAACAAGAUCUCAUAUUAGCCCCAUAAGAUUAUACAUAAUUAUUGAAAUCAAGUUGGUUUUUCUCAUGAUUUUGAUGUUAACAAAGGUAUUUUAUGAGAAUAAUUUGUGUCGACAAAUGGCUUCAUAAAGUGUGCAACAAUUAGAACAAAAAAAUUAGAAGAAGGUACCAUAGAAAGCGACCAAAGAAAACUACCAGAGGAUGUACCAGAGGAAGUCACGAGAGGAUGAGUUUAGAGGAACACAAAAACAUACUUGUCUACCUCUGAACAUAUGCUCUUGAAAUUAGCAACGUGUCUCUUACGAAGGCUACACUAGUGUUUGGCGCUAAAGCAGUUAUAAAGGAUCCCCUCAUGUUAGAGAAAGAGGUGAUUAUCUUUUCGCCUUCGGUGAUUAAUCAUGAGUGGUUGUAUUUGCAUUUGACAUUUUUUUAUUUUUCUUUUAGGCCUCUUUCUUUGGUGCUUCCACCUAAGGCUCCAACUUCACAGGAUAUAAUAUUUUCAAGAUUUUAUUUUUUAGUGUGCACAUUCUUGAUUAAUGUUAACUAUUUCUUUUCUGUUGUAGGAACCAUCUACCCAUCAACAAGCACCUACUCAGACUGUCGAUAUUUUUUAAUCCUUAGGCCAUGCCAAAUGUCACCGAACAACUGCCAACUUAUUCCAUAGAACAUGCAAGUGUCAAAACUGUUAUGGAUGUUGAUGCUAGAAUACAAGAAAUGGAUGACAGGAUAUUUCAAUAGAAGAAGUAGAAAAAGUGGAUUAUAUGUUCCUUUCAGAAUCAAUUUAGCAAGGAGUGCUAGUUAACAUGGCUGUCUCAACUAAUCAUAAUUUAGCAAGGAGUGCUAGUUAACAUGGCUGUCUCAAUUUAGUGAUCAUUUCUAUGAAACUUUUUAGAAGAUAUCUGCUCCAAGGCAAGUCAAUUCUCCAACCUCUGUUAGUUCAUCCAGUGCACAUUCUAAUUUCUGUUUCUUUCCAAGCAUGUUUCCUUGCGCACUCCUUUGCAGACCUUGGGGGACGGGUUUUUUUUUUAAGACCCCAUAUAAAGCCUUUGUCUUAAUAUGAUAACCCUCUCAAGUUUUUAAACUACAUAUUAUUGUUCCUCCCAAUUUGGCAAGCAUGCAUGGUGCCAAGUCCAUUGUCAGGUGAGUGGUUCCUCUCAUGUUUGUUCGAUUCUUAUCUCACAUAUCUAGCUUCUCUAGUAGAUGUAUUUUUAUUUGUUGAAUACAUUAAUAAAAAUUUUCUUCUUUACUUGUUUCAAUUUUUAUGAUGUCGCACGUAGUGGAUUUGUAUAAUUUUCUAGUAACUAUAAAAGUCUUUAAUGAAAAAAUAAUUUAUUUUACUCAUCUACAUUAUAAAUUUUCUCCAAAAUACUCAAUUUAAUAUAAUAUUAUUCUUCCUUAACAUAAAUAGAUAAAUAAAUAAACAAAUAUAAUAUUAACCACUAAAUCAAAUAUCUAAAAAAAUCAUUACAUCAUAGCAAACACACAUAUAAAAAAAAAUAAUCAUAAUAUUUUAGUUAAUUAAGUAGUAUACUAUGAAAUUUGGAGUAUUACACGAGCUUCUUAGGAUGUUGAGAGCAUAGAUAAAUAAAGUAAAUUAUCUUUCAGAUUUUCUUAUUCUUAAGUCCUUUGUACCUAACAUAGUUCAUUUAGAAGGAUCAAUUGUAGAAGGUUUUUUGGCCAAUGAAUAUUUGAAGUUUUGCUCGCAAUAUCUAUUUAGGUGGAAACUAGGUUCAAUAAACCUAUCAGAAAUGGCGAUGAAAUCGAUUCUACGUCAAUAGGUAAUUUGAUCUUUUUACAUCCUAUUAGAAGACCUUAUCACUGAAAUAUAUAGCAACAAAAUCAAAAGCAUAGAUAUAAUUUUUGUAAAUAAUGAAUAAACUAUAUACCAACGGUGAUAUAUCAGUAGGUAAAACCAAAUGACAAAAGACUGUCACAAUCUUAUAGUGAUGGCAACAAUCCGUAGAUAUUAGACAAUUAUAUACAAGAGUACAAACCUAGGUUUGUACUGAUAAUUUUGGCUAUACUUACAAUUUUUAUACUCUUACCGAAAGGUAAAGUUUCUUGUACUGUUAAUAUGAUUCAAAUAUCCUAAUUUUAUUUAUUAAAAUAUCAUGUGAACACAUAUUUUACUUUUUUGCAAACAUCUUUUAACAUGUUAGAAAUAUAUAAUAUACAUAUUUAUCUUUAGAGCCAGAUCAUGCUAACUAUUUGUAUCAUCUUAUCAUAUAAAAAAUUUAACAAUUACUAUUAAAAAAACUAACAAUUUAUAAUAAAAAUAAACUAACAAAAAAUUUUUGUUGAAAACAAAAAAUCAAAUAUUUAGUUCAGUUACUAAAAUUUAUAAAAAAAAAAAAAAAAAACUAACUAAUUUAGCAUAAUAUAUUUUGUUUUAUCUAUAUUUUCAUACCCAACUUUUCUCAUACAUGGCACUAAUUAUAUACUAUUUUAUGAUAUAUUUUGUAAUACUUAUCAUAAAAAUAAAAGUCUUAAAUCUAAUAUUUUAUAAUUGUAGUCAUUUUAACUUUACUGAAAUAUAUAUUUAUCAUAAAUGUCAUAAAUUAAUUUUAUGAAUGUUUAUAAAUUAAUUUUAUAAAUGUCAUAUAUUUAUCAUAAAUGUCAUAAAUGUUAUAAAUGUCAUAAAUGUCUGAAAUAUAAAAGUCUUCAAUAUAAUAUUUAUAUUUAUAUUUAAUACAUUAAUUUGAAAACCAUCAUGUUUACUUUACCUUUCAAGCAAUAUUAAAAAAACUGUUUCAAGUUCAAUGUGGGUUACCAUUUGCUUAUAUUUAAAAUAUAUAUAUCUAUAGAUUAUAAAAAUAUUUAAAGUGCUUUAAAACAUUUUACUUUUUAAUAGUUAUAUAAUAAAAAUAUUUUAUAAGACUACCAUAUUUAUAUUCAUGGAUCCAUAAAAGCUAUUGAAUGUUCAUGGUGGAACAUCGCCUAUAUAAAUGUACUUGUAGACAACAUAUUCAAAUAAAAAAAUGGAAAUUGUAAGAAAUUCUUCUAUGGCUGUGGCAUUUUUGUUGGCAUUUUUUAUCAUUUCAUCAGGUAUAAUAACAUUGAGCAAUUUAUUAUGGAUAUAUUAUCUUGUUGAUUUUUCACUUUAUUAACCAAUUUAUAAAAAACAAAAUCAUAUUUUUACAUAACAAAAUUCUAAUGUCCAUGUAAUGUUUGUGUAUGUAGAUAUUCAUAUGGAAUCACAUGCUAGAGGAGUAAGUGAGGAGAGAUAUGGAUUUUGUGGCACAAACGACGAUUGUCAACGUAACUAUCAUUGUCCACCUGGUCUUGUUGCCGUAUGUGUUGCAAAUGAGUGUACAUGUGUACACUCUCAACAAACCAAGCAAGUGAGUGAUGACAUAAAUGGAUUAUGUAGAACAGAUGGCGAUUGUCAACGUAUAAGACCUUGUCCACCUGGUCUUAUUGCCGUAUGUGCUGCAAACCAUUGUACAUGUGUACACUAAAUUAAGUUCCUAUCCAACACCAUCAGUUAUAAACUGAGUAAUACAAAAUUGUGAAAUAAUAAUCGUAUUUGGA